rnacentral:rRNA from 1 species
GGUCUUGUACACACCGCCCGUCACACCACGGAAGUCAUUCACACCCGAAGCCGGCGCAGCCGUCUAAGGUGGGGAAGGUGACUGGGGUGAAGUCGUAACAAGGUAGCCGUAUCGGAAGGUGCGGCUGGAUCACCUCCUUUCUAAGGA